rnacentral:rRNA from 1 species
UACGUAGGUGGCAAGCGUUGUUCGGAAUUAUUGGGCGUAAAGGGCGCGUAGGCGGUUUGCUAAGUCAGUUGUGAAAGCCCGGGGCUUAACCCCGGGUCUGCAUUCGGUACGGGCAUGCUGGAGUUCGGUAGGGGAGACUGGAAUUCCUGGUGGUAGCGGUGAAAUGCGCAGAUAUCAGGAGGAACACCGGUGGCGAAGGCGGCGAUCUGGGAAGAUGACUGACGUGAGGUGCGAAAGCGUGGGGAGCAAACAGG